rnacentral:rRNA from 1 species
CUUUGGGAUAACCCUCGGAAACGGGGGCUAAUACCGGAUACCUCCUUCUGGCCGCAUGGUUGGUUGGGGAAAGUUUUUCGGUCUGGGAUGGGCUCGCGGCCUAUCAGCUUGUUGGUGGGGUGAUGGCCUACCAAGGCGACGACGGGUAGCCGGCCUGAGAGGGCGACCGGCCACACUGGGACUGAGACACGGCCCAGACUCCUACGGGAGGCAGCAGUGGGGAAUAUUGCACAAUGGGCGGAAGCCUGAUGCAGCGACGCCGCGUGAGGGAUGACGGCCUUCGGGUUGUAAACCUCUUUCAGCAGGGACGAAGCGCAAGUGACGGUACCUGCAGAAGAAGCGCCGGCCAACUACGUGCCAGCAGCCGCGGUAAGACGUAGGGCGCGAGCGUUGUCCGGAUUUAUUGAGCGUAAAGAGCUCGUAGGCGGCUUGUCGCGUCGGCUGUGAAAUCCCGUGGCUCAACUGCGGGCUUGCAGCCGAUACGGGCAGGCUAGAGUCCGGUAGGGGAGACUGGAAUUCCUGGUGUAGCGGUGAAAUGCGCAGAUAUCAGGAGGAACACCGGUGGCGAAGGCGGGUCUCUGGGCCGAUACUGACGCUGAGGAGCGAAAGCGUGGGGAGCGAACAGGAUUAGAUACCCUGGUAGUCCACGCUGUAAACGUUGGGCGC